GAUCUCUGGAUGAAAGCGGGGGACUCGCAAGAGCCUCGCGCGAUUGGAGCGGCCGAUAUCAGAUUAGUUAGUUGGCGGGGUAAAAGCCCACCAAGGCGACGAUCUGUAGCUGGCCUGAGAGGACGACCAGCCACACUGGAACUGAGACACGGUCCAGACUCCUACGGGAGGCAGCAGUGGGGAAUUUUGGACAAUGGGCGAAAGCCUGAUCCAGCAAUGCCGCGUGCAGGAUGAAGGCCUUCGGGUUGUAAACUGCUUUUGUACGGAACGAAACGGUCUGCCUUAAUACGGUGGGCUAAUGACGGUACCGUAAGAAUAAGCACCGGCUAACUACGUGCCAGCAGCCGCGGUAAUACGUAGGGUGCGAGCGUUAAUCGGAAUUACUGGGCGUAAAGCGUGCGCAGGCGGUUAUAUAAGACAGAUGUGAAAUCCCCGGGCUCAACCUGGGACCUGCAUUUGUGACUGUAUAGCUAGAGUACGGUAGAGGGGGAUGGAAUUCCGCGUGUAGCAGUGAAAUGCGUUGAUAUGCGGAGGAACACCGAUGGCGAAGGCAAUCCCCUGGACCUGUACUGACGCUCAU
rnacentral:rRNA from 1 species